CCCAGACAGCCAGGAUGUUGGCUUAGAAGCAGCCAUCAUUUAAAGAAAGCGUAAUAGCUCACUGGUCGAGUCGGCCUGCGCGGAAGAUGUAACGGGGCUAAACCAUGCACCGAAGCUGCGGCAGCGACACUGUGUGUUGUUGGGUAGGGGAGCGUUCUGUAAGCCUGUGAAGGUGGCCUGUGAGGGUUGCUGGAGGUAUCAGAAGUGCGAAUGCUGACAUAAGUAACGAUAAAGCGGGUGAAAAGCCCGCUCGCCGGAAGACCAAGGGUUCCUGUCCAACGUUAAUCGGGGCAGGGUGAGUCGACCCCUAAGGCGAGGCCGAAAGGCGUAGUCGAUGGGAAACGGGUUAAUAUUCCCGUACUUGGUGUUACUGCGAAGGGGGGACGGAGAAGGCUAUGUUGGCCGGGCGACGGUUGUCCCGGUUUAAGCGUGUAGGUGUGUGUUCCAGGUAAAUCCGGUUCACUUUAACACUGAGGCGUGAUGACGAGGCACUACGGUGCUGAAGCAACAAAUGCCCUGCUUCCAGGAAAAGCCUCUAAGCAUCAGGUAACAUCAAAUCGUACCCCAAACCGACACAGGUGGUCAGGUAGAGAAUAC
rnacentral:rRNA from 1 species